rnacentral:RNase_P_RNA from 1 species
CGGGUGGAUCGGGCGGCUGCGUUCCGCCGCGAGCGGAAUGAGGAAAGUCCGGACUCCACAGGACAGGGCGCUGGAUAACGUCCAGGCACCGUAAGGUGACGGAAAGUGCCACAGAGAAGAGACCGCCGAUGGUUCCGAUUUUCGGAACACAGGCAAGGGUGAAACGGUGGGGUAAGAGCCCACCGCCGUCUCCGGUGACGGAGCGGGCACGGCAAACCCCGCCCGGAGCAAGACCAUGUAGACGGUGCGCGUCGGCCCUCGUGUCGGGCCGACCGGAACGUGGUCCGCGUUCUUGGCGCCGCGGGUAGGUUGCUCGAGGUUCCGCGCAAGCGGGAUCCCAGAGAGAUGGUCGCCCUCGACAGAAUCCGGCUUACAGAUCCACCCGCCGC